rnacentral:piRNA from 1 species
UUAUAGAUUAAAAUACUUUUU